UGUAAUGUAGCUCAGAGGUACAGCGCUUGCCUAGCAUGCAUGAGACCCUGGAUUCGAUCUCCUGCACCACCA
rnacentral:tRNA from 1 species